rnacentral:tRNA from 1 species
UCCCUGGUAGCUCAGAGGUUAAAGUGUCUGCCUCCAAUGCAGGAGACCCAGGUUCUAUCCCUGGGUCGGGAA